AUUGAACGCUGGCGGCAGGCCUAACACAUGCAAGUCGAGCGGAUGAAGGGGGCUUGCUCCUGGAUUCAGCGGCGGACGGGUGAGUAAUGCCUAGGAAUCUGCCUGGUAGUGGGGGAUAACGUCCGGAAACGGGCGCUAAUACCGCAUACGUCCUGAGGGAGAAAGUGGGGGAUCUUCGGACCUCACGCUAUCAGAUUAGCCUAGGUCGGAUUAGCUAGUUGGUGGGGUAAAGGCCUACCAAGGCGACGAUCCGUAACUGGUCUGAGAGGAUGAUCAGUCACACUGGAACUGAGACACGGUCCAGACUCCUACGGGAGGCAGCAGUGGGGAAUAUUGGACAAUGGGCGAAAGCCGGAUCCAGCCAUGCCGGGUGUGUGAAGAAGGUCUUCGGAUUGUAAAGCACUUUAAGUUGGGAGGAAGGGAAGUAAGUUAAUCCCUUGCUGUUUUGACGUUACCAAAAGAAUAAGCCCCGGCUAACUUCGUG
rnacentral:rRNA from 1 species